GGUAAAAUGGCUGAGUUUAGGCGGUAAAUUGUAAAUUUACAUACGAAAGAAAUUUCUUUUAUC
rnacentral:tRNA from 1 species